CUUAGCGACGGAGAUCGUGCAUCAAGGUACAAGGUUGCAACACCCUGGGACGAUCUUUGCAAUUGCAUGAAACUUCAGAAAAGAUGGAGCAGUUAUACUCGAUUCCCUUCGCAGUUUUGGAGUGUCCAAACCUGAAAUUGAAGUGGCCAACAUGGCUACACGCACCAUCAGCGAUGACUGUCUACUUUGUCGUCCUUGGUUCUUAUUUUCUUGUUACAGGGGGUUUAAUCUAUGAUGUCAUCGUGGAGCCGCCAAGUGUUGGCUCAACAACAGAUGAAAACGGCCAUCAAAGACCUGUGGCCUUCAUGCCUUACCGAGUCAACGGCCAAUACAUCAUGGAGGGUCUCGCAUCCAGCUUUCUCUUCACAGUCGGAGGCCUCGGUUUCGUCAUUCUGGACAAGUCUAACGCUCCCAUGAUGCCCAAGCUGAACCGAUUCCUUCUCUUGUUUGUCAGCUUUGUCUGCAUUCUGGUCUCGUUCUUCAUGUGUCGGGUCUUCAUGAGGAUGAAACUACCGGGCUACUUGCAGGGAUAAGAAUUCAAUCAGCAGCGCUAGUAGGGCCAUCAGCCGCUACCCUCUUCUUACACAGUCACUGACCCGAUGACCUUUUGACCUUUCACCUGGUGACCUUUUGAUCUUUGACCUCUCCCUGCCCCUAUAUUGAAACAACAUAUAUCAACUGGAAAGGAGCAUCCUCUACAAGGUCCUAUUGUUACCCACUUCAGAUGAAAAACAAUUGCAAAGUAGCCUCCUUUUUGCAUUAGGUUUGUACUAUAUUGAGGUACAACCAUCUUGGUAUGGCUCCUAGAAGGCAAGACAUUAUCACAGAACAGUGGACACUCUGGAUGCCAGAUUCUUUUUUUCUUACAAGUAUGGUAACUUGUCACAACUCUUCCUGAGACAACACCACAAGUCUUUUAAAUUGUUUACAGCACUGGUAAGCAUCAAACUAAGAGCAAUAAUAAAUUAAGAAGGAUAAUGUCACAAAUUGUUGAUGGUUUGAUUCUAAUGUUUGAAACAAUCAUAACAAAAGGAAGAAAGAUGCAAAGUCAGAUUAGAGAAAUUUCAGAUGAUUAAAAUAGAUAUUUCUCAUUGGACUAACGUUUUUGGGAGUUGCUGAUAGCUUGUUCUUUGUUUUAAUGCAAAUCAGCUGAUUGCUUGUUCUUUGUUUUAAUGCAGAUCAGUCAUUAGAACUCAAUUACUGACAAUAUCAUUCAUAGUCAACGGAGACUUAUGAAUAAAAUCACAAGGUAAAUAACAUUUACAAAGGUGGAUUUGGUUAGUUUUCUUUCACAUAUUGUUACUUUCUUUUAGGUUGAUUCUGGUUUUCAGUUGUGUAAGAGCCAAAAAUGUGUGUUUAAGGAUGUUUUAAAGUUUUUUUCUGGAUAAAGUUAAGUAAAAUGCGAUGGGGAAAUGAGAUUUCCAAAGAAGUUGUGAAUUUGCCAUUUUUUGGAAAAUAAAA